rnacentral:tRNA from 1 species
CAGUUGAUAGUUUAAUUUUAAAAUUUUAAUUUUGGAUAUUAAAGAUGUAUAUUUAUUUGACUGA